CAGUGCCCGUGCUAUGUUUAUUCAGUUUCCUUCUAUCAUCAGACAUGAUUAUAAACUAUUUUUAAAACUAUUAUUUUAACUCUGAUCCCAAAUUAGAAAUGAAUUCCUCUGAUAUGGAACAACUUCAUUAAAUGGAUAUAGACUAGGCCAAUCUGCUGGUGCUGCACUCCUGUGGCGAUAGUCUGAAUAUUUAGAUGAAUGGUGGAGGAUUUAAUAAUAAAUUCUCUUCAAUGAGUUUGGAAAUUGUCAGCAACCUGAGCCCUUCAGCCUGUAGAUGAAAAAAUACACAGAUGACACUUAUGGAAUUCACAAUUAUUUUGUAAAAUGUUCAGUUUGGUACUUGGAUGUCUAUAAAUUUUUUUAAACAUU